rnacentral:rRNA from 1 species
GACGAACGCUGGCGGCGUGCUUAACACAUGCAAGUCGAGCGGUAAGGCCCUUUCGGGGGUACGACGAGCGGCGAACGGGUGAGUAACACGUGGGUGACCUGCCCUCAGCUCUGGGAGUAAGCCUGGGAAACCGGGUCUAAUACUGGAUAUGACUCCAUGACGCAUGUUGUGGGGUGGAAAGCCUUGUGCGGCUGAGGAUGGGCCCGCGGCCUAUCAGCUUGUUGGUGGGGUGAGGCCUACCAAGGCGACGACGGGUAGCCGGCCUGAGAGGGCGACCGGCCACACUGGGACUGAGACACGGCCCAGACUCCUACGGGAGGCAGCAGUGGGGAAUCUUGCGCAAUGGGCGAAAGCCUGACGCAGCGACGCCGCGUGAGGGAUGACGGCCU